UACGAAGGGGGCUAGCGUUGCUCGGAAUUACUGGGCGUAAAGCGCACGUAGGCGGCUCUUUAAGUCGGAGGUGAAAUCCUGGAGCUCAACUCCAGAACUGCCUUCGAUACUGAAGAGCUCGAGUCCGGGAGAGGUGAGUGGAACUGCGAGUGUAGAGGUGAAAUUCGUAGAUAUUCGCAAGAACACCAGUGGCGAAGGCGGCUCACUGGCCCGGAACUGACGCUGAGGCACGAAAGCGUGGGGAGCAAACAGG
rnacentral:rRNA from 1 species